AAUGAGACGGAAUGUCUGGAGGAACUCCGAUAGUUCAUUUGUAACAAGAAAGUUUCAAUUUGUGGCAAAAAUUGAAACGUUUUAAAGUAAAAUGUUUCUGUCUCCAAAUUACUGAGCAGUUCUGUACAGCUGUCCAGACGUACUGUAUCUUUUUUGCUAAAUAAGUAUUUUUUAAAUAUUUUUUCUUAAAGGAAAACAAUAAAAAUCAUCUGUCUAAAAACAGGGGCGUCUAAACUGAGGUCUAAACAGAGAGAGGUCUGAAAAUACGGACAGUUGAAAAAAAGCUCUUGUUUAGCGAACUCUGGCCUGGGAAAACGGAAGAGAAGGACGGGUUUGUACCGGGACUGGUUGGGAAAGACGACGUUUACGGCCAUUAAAGGAAAGCCAGAAAAACACACCUACCGUAAUUUGUUUUGUCAGAAGAGAAAAGUGCUGCCAUGCAACAAGUGGUAAGCGAUUCAUGUUGGCUGGAGCCUGAUCUGAUGGUGAUGAUGAUGCUGAACCAGCAGCAGCUGCUGGGAUUGAUGAGUGAAGUGG